GGCUGGUCCCAGUGCAGUAGCACUUACAACUAAUCGAUCGCAACCAGUUACAGAUUUCUUUGUUCCUUCUCCACUCCCACUGCUUCACUUCACUAGCCUUAA
ensembl:Y_RNA Y_RNA Y RNA